rnacentral:rRNA from 1 species
UGGGGAAUUUUGGACAAUGGGCGAAAGCCUGAUCCAGCAAUGCCGCGUGUGUGAAGAAGGCCUUCGGGUUGUAAAGCACUUUUGUCCGGAAAGAAAUCCUUGGCUCUAAUACAGUCGGGGGAUGACGGUACCGGAAGAAUAAGCACCGGCUAACUACGUGCCAGCAGCCGCGGUAAUACGUAGGGUGCAAGCGUUAAUCGGAAUUACUGGGCGUAAAGCGUGCGCAGGCGGUUUGCUAAGACCGAUGUGAAAUCCCCGGGCUCAACCUGGGAACUGCAUUGGUGACUGGCAGGCUAGAGUAUGGCAGAGGGGGGUAGAAUUCCACGUGUAGCAGUGAAAUGCGUAGAGAUGUGGAGGAAUACCGAUGGCGAAGGCAGCCCCCUGGGCCAAUACUGACGCUCAUGCACGAAAGCGUGGGGAGCAGACAGGAUUAGAUACCCUGGUAGUCCACGCCCUAAACGAUGUCAACUAGUUGUUGGGGAUUCAUUUCCUUAGUAACGUAGCUAACGCGUGAAGUUGACCGCCUGGGGAGUACGGUCGCAAGAUUAAAACUUAAAGGAAUUAACGGGGUCAUAGCUGUUUCC